UUUCGCAAUGCCCGAAAGGGUGACGAAGCGACGCCGCGUGUGGGAAGAAGGCCUUCGGGUUGUAAACCACUGUCGGGAGUUAAGAAAUGUAAGGAUGUUAAUAGCGUCCUUACUUGACUAAGGCUCCGGAGGAAGCCACGGCUAACUCUGUACCAGCAGCCGCGGUAAUACAGAGGCGGCAAGUGUUGUUCGGAAUUAUUGGGCGUAAAGAGCACGUAGGCGGCCCUGAAAGUCAGUUGUGAAAGCCUUCUGCCUAACGGAAGAACAGCAGCUGAUACUGCAAGACUAGAGUGCGGAAGGGGAGAGUGGAACUUCUGGUGGAGCGGUGAAAUGCGUAGAUAUCAGAAGGAACACCGGCGGCGAAAGCGGCUCUCGGGCCCGUAACUGACGCUGAGUGUGCGAAAGCUAGGGGAUCAAACGGGAUUAGAUACCCCGGUAGUCCUAGCCGUAAACGAUGGGCACUAAGUAGAGGGGUUUU
rnacentral:rRNA from 1 species